CUGGCUAUAACACUAAGGAUAUAGGAGGUUAAGGAUAGGACACAGAGACAAUAACAGUUCAUACACUGGCUAUAACACUAAGGAUAUAGGAGGUUAAGGAUCAUACACUGGCUAUAACACUAAGGAUAUAGGAGGUUAAGGAUCAUACCCUGGCUAUAACACUAAGGAUAUAGGAGGUUAAGGAUAGGACAAAGACAAUAACAGUUCAUACCCUGGCUAUAACACUAAGGAUAUAGGAGGUUAAGGAUCAUACACUGGCUAUAACACUAAGGAUAUAGGAGGUUAAGGAUAGGACACAGAGACAAUAACAGUUCAUACACUGGCUAUAACACUAAGGAUAUAGGAGGUUAAGGAUCAUACACUGGCUAUAACACUAAGGAUAUAGGAGGUUAAGGAUAGGACACAGAGACAAUAACAGUUCAUACCCUGGCUAUAACACUAAGGAUAUAGGAGGUUAAGGAUAGGACACAGACAAUAACAGUUCAUACACUGGCUAUAACACUAAGGAUAUAGGAGGUUAAGGAUAGGACACAGACAAUAACAGUUCAUACACUGGCUAUAACACUAAGGAUAUAGGAGGUUAAGGAUAGGACACAGAGACAAUAACAGUUCAUACACUGGCUAUAACACUAAGGAUAUAGGAGGUUAAGGAUCAUACCCUGGCUAUAACACUAAGGAUAUAGGAGGUUAAGGAUAGGACACAGACAAUAACAGUUCAUACACUGGCUAUAACACUAAGGAUAUAGGAGGUUAAGGAUCAUACUCUGGCUAUAACACUAAGGAUAUAGGAGGUUAAGGAUCAUACCCUGGCUAUAACACUAAGGAUAUAGGAGGUUAAGGAUCAUACCCUGGCUAUAACACUAAGGAUAUAGGAGGUUAAGGAUAGGACACGGAGACAAUAACAGUUCAUACACUGGCUAUAACACUAAGGAUAUAGGAGGUUAAGGAUAGGACACAGAGACAAUAACAGUUCAUACCCUGGCUAUAACACUAAGGAUAUAGGAGGUUAAGGAUCAUACCCUGGCUAUAACACUAAGGAUAUAGGAGGUUAAGGAUAGGACACAGAGACAAUAACAGUUCAUACCCUGGCUAUAACACUAAGGAUAUAGGAGGUUAAGGAUCAUACCCUGGCUAUAACACAAAGGAUAUAGGAGGUUAAGGAUAGGACACAGAGACAAUAACAGUUCAUACACUGGCUAUAACACUAAGGAUAUAGGAGGUUAAGGAUCAUACCCUGGCUAUAACACUAAGGAUAUAGGAGGUUAAGGAUAGGACACAGACAAUAACAGUUCAUACACUGGCUAUAACACUAAGGAUAUAGGAGGUUAAGGAUCAUACUCUGGCUAUAACACUAAGGAUAUAGGAGGUUAAGGAUCAUACCCUGGCUAUAACACUAAGGAUAUAGGAGGUUAAGGAUCAUACCCUGGCUAUAACACUAAGGAUAUAGGAGGUUAAGGAUAGGACACAGAGACAAUAACAGUUCAUACACUGGCUAUAACACUAAGGAUAUAGGAGGUUAAGGAUAGGACACAGAGACAAUAACAGUUCAUACCCUGGCUAUAACACUAAGGAUAUAGGAGGUUAAGGAUCAUACCCUGGCUAUAACACUAAGGAUAUAGGAGGUUAAGGAUAGGACACAGAGACAAUAACAGUUCAUACCCUGGCUAUAACACUAAGGAUAUAGGAGGUUAAGGAUAGGACACAGACAAUAACGGUUCAUACCCUGGCUAUAACACUAAGGAUAUAGGAGGUUAAGGAUCAUACCCUGGCUAUAACACUAAGGAUAUAGGAGGUUAAGGAUAGGACACAGACAAUAACAGUUCAUACACUGGCUAUAACACUAAGGAUAUAGGAGGUUAAGGAUAGGACACAGA